rnacentral:rRNA from 1 species
CCCUUAGAUGUCCGGGGCCGCACGCGCGCUACACUGAAGGAAUCAGCGUGGCUUUCUCCCUGACCCGAAAGGGUUGGGAAACCCGUUGAAUCUCCUUCGUGAUAGGGAUUGGGGCUUGAAAUUGUUCCCCAUGAACGAGGAAAUCCCAGUAAGCGCGAGUCAUAAGCUCGCGUUGAUUACGUCCCUGCCCUUUGUACACACCGCCCGUCGCUACUACCGAUUGAACGGUUUAGUGAGGGCCUCGGAUUGGUCUCGGCCCGCUCUUUACCGGGCGGCGCCGUUGGUCGAGAAGACGCUCGAACUUGAUCGUUUAGAGGAAGUAAAAGUCGUAACA